rnacentral:rRNA from 1 species
AUGAACGCUAGCUACAGGCUUAACACAUGCAAGUCGAGGGGCAGCAUGGUCUUAGCUUGCUAAGGCCGAUGGCGACCGGCGCACGGGUGAGUAACGCGUAUCCAACCUGCCUUACACUCUUGGACAGCCUUCUGAAAGGGAGAUUAAUACAAGAUGUUAUCAUGAGUAAGCAUUUUCGCAUGAUUAAAGGUUUACCGGUGUAAGAUGGGGAUGCGUUCCAUUAGAUAGUAGGCGGGGUAACGGCCCACCUAGUCUUCGAUGGAUAGGGGUUCUGAGAGGAAGGUCCCCCACAUUGGAACUGAGACACGGUCCAAACUCCUACGGGAGGCAGCAGUGAGGAAUAUUGGUCAAUGGACGAGAGUCUGAACCAGCCAAGUAGCGUGAAGGAUGAAGGUUCUAUGGAUUGUAAACUUCUUUUAUACGGGAAUAAACGGAUCCACGUGUGGAUUUUUGCAUGUACCGUAUGAAUAAGGAUCGGCUAACUCCGUGCCAGCAGCCGCGGUAAUACGGAGGAUCCGAGCGUUAUCCGGAUUUAUUGGGUUUAAAGGGAGCGUAGAUGGGUUGUUAAGUCAGUUGUGAAAGUUUGCGGCUCAACCGUAAAAUUGCAAUUGAUACUGGCAGUCUUGAGUACAGUUGAGGUAGGCGGAAUUCGUGGUGUAGCGGUGAAAUGCUUAGAUAUCACGAAGAACUCCGAUUGCGAAGGCAGCUUACUAACCUGUAACUGACAUUGAUGCUCGAAAGUGUGGGUAUCAAACAGGAUUGGAUACCCUGGUAGUCCACACGGUAAACGAUGAAUACUCGCUGUAGGCGAUAUACAGUCUGCGGCCAAGCGAAAGCAUUAAGUAUUCCACCUGGGGAGUACGCCGGCAACGGUGAAACUCAAAGGAAUUGACGGGGGCCCGCACAAGCGGAGGAACAUGUGGUUUAAUUCGAUGAUACGCGAGGAACCUUACCCGGGCUUAAAUUGCAACCGAAUAUGGCGGAAACGCUAUAGCUAGCAAUAGCGGUUGUGAAGGUGCUGCAUGGUUGUCGUCAGCUCGUGCCGUGAGGUGUCGGCUUAAGUGCCAUAACGAGCGCAACCCUUGCCGAUAGUUACUAACAGGUCAUGCUGAGGACUCUGUCGGGACUGCCAUCGUAAGAUGUGAGGAAGGUGGGGAUGACGUCAAAUCAGCACGGCCCUUACGUCCGGGGCUACACACGUGUUACAAUGGGGGGUACAGAGGGCUGCUACCACGCAAGUGGAUGCCAAUCCCAAAAACCUCUCUCAGUUCGGAUUGAAGUCUGCAACCCGACUUCAUGAAGCUGGAUUCGCUAGUAAUCGCGCAUCAGCCACGGCGCGGUGAAUACGUUCCCGGGCCUUGUACACACCGCCCGUCAAGCCAUGGGAGCCGGGGGUACCUGAAGUGCGUAACCGCAAGGAGCGCCCUAGGGUAAAACUGGUGACUGGGGCU